CACGAAGUUAGCCGGUGCUUAUUCUUUGGGUACCGUCAGAACAAUCGGGUAUUAACCGACUGCUUUUCUUUCCCAACAAAAGGGCUUUACAACCCGAAGGCCCUCUUCACCCACGCGGCAUGGCUGGAUCAGGCUUGCGCCCAUUGUCCAAUAUUCCCCACUGCUGCCUCCCGUAGGAGUCUGGACCGUGUCUCAGUUCCAGUGUGGCUGAUCAUCCUCUCAGACCAGCUACGGAUCGUCGCCUUGGUGGGCCUUUACCCCGCCAACUAGCUAAUCCGACAUCGGCUCAUCUAUCUGCGCGAAGCCCGAAGGUCCUCCGCUUUCACCCGUAGGUCGUAUGCGGUAUUAGCGUAAGUUUCCCUACGUUAUCCCCCACAAAUAGGCAGAUUCCGAUGUAUUCCUCACCCGUCCGCCACUCGCCACCCGAGGAGCAAGCUCCUCUGUGCUGCCGUUCGACUUGCAUGUGUUAGGCCUGCCGCCAGCGUUCACUCUGAGCCAGGAUCAAACU
rnacentral:rRNA from 1 species